rnacentral:misc_RNA from 1 species
GAUGAAGAACGUAGCGAAAUGCGAUAAGUAAUGUGAAUCGCAGAAUUCAGUGAAUCAUCGAAUCUUUGAACGCACAUUGCGCCCGCCAGUAUUCUGGCGGGCAUGCCUGUUCGAGCGUCAUUUCAACCAUCAAGCCCCCGGCUUGUGUUGGGGACCUGCGGCUGCCGCAGGCCCUGAAAACCAGUGGCGGGCUCGCUAGUCACUCCGAGCGUAGUAAUACAUCUCGCUCAGGGCGUGCUGCGGGUUCCGGCCGUUAAAAAGCCUUAUUUACCCAAGGUUGACCUCGGAUCAGGUAGGAAGACCCGCUGAACUUAAGCAUAUCAAUAAGCGGAGGA